UACGUGGGGAGCAAGCGUUGUCCGGAAUCAUUGGGCGUAAAGCGCGCGUAGGUGGCUUCGUAAGUCCGUUGUGAAAGUCAAAGGCUCAACCUUUGAAAGCCGAUGGAUACUGCGGAGCUAGAGUACGGAAGAGGCGAGUGGAAUUCCUGGUGUAGCGGUGGAAUGCGUAGAGAUCCGGAAGAACACCGGUGGCGAAGGCGGUCUGCUGGGGUCGAACUGACGCUGAGGCGCGACAGCGUGGGGAGCAAACAGG
rnacentral:rRNA from 1 species